AUUGAACGCUGGCGGCAGGCCUAACACAUGCAAGUCGAGCGGAGCGGCGGACGGGUGAGUAAUGCCUAGGAAUCUGCCUGGUCGUGGGGGAUAACGUCCGGAAACGGGCGCUAAUACCGCAUACUAUCAGAUGAGCCUAGGUCGGAUUAGCUAGUUGGUGGGGUAAAGGCUCACCAAGGCGACGAUCCCUAACCGGUCUGAGAGGAUGAUCAGCCACACUGGGACUGAGACACGGCCCAGACUCCUACGGGAGGCAGCAGUGGGGAAUAUUGGACAAUGGGCGAAAGCCUGAUGCAGCCAUGCCGCGUGUGUGAAGAAGGUCUUCGGAUUGUAAAGCACUUUCAGUUGGGAGGCGUUACCGACAGAAGAAGCACCGGCUAACUUCGUGCCAGCAGCCGCGGUAAUUC
rnacentral:rRNA from 1 species